rnacentral:tRNA from 1 species
GGCCUUGUAGCUCAAAGGAUAGAGCGCCCCUUUCGCAUGGGGAGGGUUGCGGGUUCGAAUCCCGCCAAGGAUU